CCGAGGGCUCGGCAGUCAUCCGCUUGCAAAUAUAUGUUCGCCUUUAAACGGGGUGGCUAUAUAAGCAGCAUUUUACCUUGAGAAAAACAGAGUGUUCCAGGCAGGUUUGUCCGGAAUGCAUUAGCAUGGAAUAAUAGAUAUGACUGAAGUCGAUUUAUUGGUUUGAGGCUUUAGUAAUGAUUAAUAGGAACAGUCGGGGGCAUUGGUACUUGUCAGUCAGAGGUGAAAUUCUAGGAUUUGACAAAGACUAACAAAUGCGAAAGCAUUUGCCAAGGAUGUUUUCAUUAAUCAAGAACGAAAGUUAGGGGAUCAAAGACGAUCAGAUACCGUCCUAGUCUUAACUAUAAACUAUACCGACUCGGAUUCAGAUGAAUCAUAAAGUUCAUUUGGGACCGUAGGAGAAAUCAAAGUUUUUGGGUUCUGGGGGAAGUAUGGUCGCAAGGCUGAAACUUAAAGGAAUUGACGGUUUUGCACCACCAUGGAGUGGAGUCUGCGGCUUAAUUUGACUCAACACUGGGAAACUCAUCAGGGCAAGAAGAUUGUAGGAUUGACAGAUUGAGAGUUCUUUCUUGAUUGGUCUAGUGGUGGUGCAUGGCCGUUCUUAGUUGGUGGAGUGAUUUGUCUGGUUAAUUCCGUUAACGAACGAGACCUUAACCUGCUAACUAGUACACCGAUGACAAAUCGGUGAUACUUCUUAGAGGGACUAUGUG
rnacentral:rRNA from 1 species